AUGGCUGGCGCUCCUAGUUCUUCCUCACGCCCUCACGGCCCCCAAAAACGCGAUUGGGAGAGCUGCUCGGUCUCCCACGCCCAUCUGACCAAGCUCCAGGUGCAAGGAUUUCUUUCUCCCAUGGACCUGGUUCCCGUCCGGGCAGGAUUAACUUCCAUAAAUGGUGACGCCCUCGCGGAAAAUUUCCCCAAUCCUUCGGAAGGGGAGCGAGUGUGCUUCAUUUCCUUCCUUUUAAGAGGCAUUGGAUUUCCAAUCCACCCUUUCCUCCGAGGUCUCCUAGAGUACUACGGCCUCCAGCUGCACAAUCUCAUGUCGGGCUCCAUUCUGCACAUCGCGGGCUUCGUGGCUCUCUGCGAGCUGUUCUUAGGUUGCAAGGCCCAUUUUGAGUUAUGGAAGAGACUUUUCUGCCUCGUCCCCUGCUCCCAAAAGGGAUCUAUAUUCAAGGUGGGCGGCGCCGAAGUAUGGCGUAUAGCUGGAACAAGAUACCUGUCUGGCACUCCGAAGAAGGCAUCCGAAGAGUGGCCCUUAGAGUGGUUUUAUAUUGAAGACGUAGUUCACCCAGACCUAAUCCGGUGGGGCCUACCCGAAUUUUGCAAUGCUCCGUUAAAGAAACACCAUAGCUGGAGUCCCCGGAGCCUCGAAGAGGAGGACAGUGCGGAGAUUAAGAAGCUAAUGAGCAAGAUAAAGAUACUCGCCCAAUCCGAACUAUCCAUAAUUGAGGUAAUAGCGAUUUCAAUAACAUGA
rnacentral:rRNA from 1 species